CUCGUAGGUGGCCGCCUCAGUCCGACGUGAAAUCCCUCGGCUCAACCGGGGAACUGCGUCGGAUACUGGGUGGCUUGAAUCCGGGAGAGGGACGUGGAAUUCCAGGUGUAGCGGUGAAAUGCGUAGAUAUCUGGAGGAACACCGGUGGCGAAGGCGGCGUCCUGGACCGGUAUUGACACUGAGGAGCGAAAGCCAGGGGGAGCAAACG
rnacentral:rRNA from 1 species